rnacentral:rRNA from 1 species
GACGAACGCUGGCGGCGUGCCUAAUACAUGCAAGUUGAGCGCUGAAGGUUGGUACUUGUACCAACUGGAUGAGCAGCGAACGGGUGAGUAACGCGUGGGGAAUCUGCCUUUGAGCGGGGGACAACAUUUGGAAACGAAUGCUAAUACCGCAUAAAAACUUUAAACACAAGUUUUAAGUUUGAAAGAUGCAAUUGCAUCACUCAAAGAUGAUCCCGCGUUGUAUUAGCUAGUUGGUGAGGUAAAGGCUCACCAAGGCGAUGAUACAUAGCCGACCUGAGAGGGUGAGCGGCCACAUUGGGACUGAGACACGGCCCAAACUCCUACGGGAGGCAGCAGUAGGGAAUCUUCGGCAAUAGACGAAAGUCUGACCGAGCAACGCCGCGUGAGUGAAGAAGGUUGUCGGAUCGUAAAACUCUGUUGGUAGAGAAGAACGUGGGUGAGAGUGGAAAGCUCAUCAAGUGACGGUAACUACCCAGAAAGGGACGGCUAACUACGUG